rnacentral:lncRNA from 1 species
CGGCCCCCCAGCCAGGGGUCCUUACUAGGCUGGCGGCUCUCGGCCCCUUCGCCUUCCCUCGCAAACCUACCCCCACCUCCAACACUCCGAGCGGACUCAGCGCAAGGAAGGAAACCCGGAACGGGGGCGGCGGCCCGAGGCGCACGCACGCUACCAGCUUCCGGCAAUCCACGGGUUAAAACGAAGCGGCGGCGCGCGCGGAGGGGAGAGGCGGUUGCUGACAGGUGGCGCCUGCGCACUGGGAUCGCUCAUUGUGCCCCGCAGCUGCCUAGCCGCCCGCCCGCCGCCCGUUCGGCGAGUCAGUCGGCGGAGAGUCCAGUGGUGGGUGCGGAUCUUGAGAUCGUUCCUGCGGCCUCUUCUUCCUCCCCGUUCCCCUCACCCUACCCCACACCCUUUACCUUCUUCCCAGCUCCGUCACCCUCCCGCCCCCCACACUCGAGACGAGAAUGCCCUGCCCGGAACAACCUAGCAGCGCCUAGAUGGCUUUGGUCACGGUCCAGCGGUCGCCUACCCCCAGCACCACCUCCAGCCCCUGCGCCUCGAAUCUUUGUGAAGACCCAAGAGAUACAGUGAAGUUCCACCUUACUAGAAUGCUAAAGCAAGCAUAUUAUACAAAAGUCAAAUUACUAAAUAGUAAAAAUUAUCCUUCAAAAUAUCUUGUGAAUCUCCCAAUAGAGAACAAUAUGCAUGGUUUUGAGCAUACAACUCUAUAACUGCCUAAUAAUACUCAGGUUCUCCCAGCUCAUGCUCACUUUUUUGCAUGCACCUAUUGAGUUUAAUUAUGUACACUAGAACAUUUUAUUCAUAUUUAUUCUUUACUCUGAACGUGAAGCCAAAUUACCAUAAAUAAAAUGCAUAUUUGAUGCAGCAGCCAAUUUAUUAUGGUGAAAUGCUUAGCAUAGAACCUGGCUUUUUAAGUCCUUUAGGCUGCUAAUUUUACCUUUGGUGCACCAUAUGAUGUUUGAAGAUGAAAUUGCAGUUGUUUGGCUUACGGCUCCUGACUGUGUGUAAUGGAUCAAUGAUGAUAUUUUUUCCUCCCACAUCAGCCAAUAUUUAUGACAGAUGCAUGUGGCCAAGGGAAUAAUGUCAAUGUAGGAUUAUUAAUUAUUAAUUCAGGAAAAAACUCUUAACAUAAUUGUCUCCAAAGUUAACUGAUCCCAAAC